rnacentral:other from 1 species
GUUAUCCUGAAAUGAGCGAGUAAAACCUUUAUUUUGAACCUACAUCUUUCAUAAGGGAGUCUGCUGUCUGGUAUACGAUGUCAGGCCUUAUGUAAUUCCGACACACGGCGUGAACGUUGUGCAACGGCGGAGGAAGGCUGAAUAUACCACCGGGACACCCACCUAGCUUUGGGCUAGGUGUCAAAAUACUGGGGACGCCAUUUUGGGACUAAC